AUGCCAGGUAAGCAGUACGGGGCCCCGCAGCCCAGCGGGGAGAGGCACCCAGCGGUGGCCCCAGCUGACAGCGAGUGGACGAGGUCAAGGCAGAUCCCGCCGGCCGCCCCCAACUGCCUCCACGCCGAAGUCGUCGCCCGCCCCUCCCCCCUGAAACAAAAUCUCUUCCAGAAUCGGAGGGGAAAGCAUCUGCGAGUUUCGCCCUCGCGCGGGCGGCCGGCGGCGGCGGAGAUGGGCUGCUGUAGCAGCCGGAGCUCGGACUCGCCGGCCAGCCGCGUCACGCGCUGGCGCUCCACCGGGAUCGUCGCCCUCCGGGACGCCAAACUGAAGGUGGUACCACAGGAAGUUCUGCAAGUGGGAAAUUCCCUUAGAACUCUGGAUUUGACAAAUAACAAGAUAGUUGAGGUUCCCCAGGAAGUUGGUACCAUUGUGAAUAUGCAAAGACUGGUUUUGGCUGGUAAUUUGAUUGAAAACAUUCCAGCUAAUAUUGGAUACCUGCGGAACCUUAAAAUCCUCACGCUUGACAGAAAUAGGAUCACUGUCUUGCCUGAAGAAUUGGGUUCUCUAUCAAAUCUUCAGCAGCUUACAGUUUCUCAGAAUUCUUUGCUGUGCCUACCUAAAAGUGUUGGAGAUUUGUGCAAUAUGCUGCUACUCAAUGUAUCUGAUAACAAACUAAAUGCCCUUCCCGAAUCAAUAGGAGGCUGCAAGUCCCUCGAAGAAUUGCAGGCUAAUGGAAAUACAAUCGAAGAUGUGCCCUCAUCAAUUUGCAACCUUGCUUGCCUCAAAUCUAUAUCAUUGAAUGGAAACAAAAUUCGUCAGCUUCCCCCAAACUUGCUGAAGGAUUGCAAGGCUCUUCAGAACUUGUCACUGCACAGCAACCCAAUCUCGAUGGACCAGUUUCAGCAAAUGGAUGGAUUCGGGGAAUUUGAAGCGCGCAGAAGGAAGAAGUUUGACAAGCAGAUUGAUUCAAAUGUGAUGAUGGGCUCCACAGCCCUGGACGAAGGCAUUGAUUUACGCUAG
rnacentral:rRNA from 1 species